rnacentral:rRNA from 1 species
UACGAAGGGGGCUAGCGUUGCUCGGAAUCACUGGGCGUAAAGCGCACGUAGGCGGAUUGCUAAGUCAGGGGUGAAAUCCUGGAGCUCAACUCCAGAACUGCCCUUGAUACUGGCGGUCUCGAGUCCGGGAGAGGUGAGUGGAACUGCGAGUGUAGAGGUGAAAUUCGUAGAUAUUCGCAAGAACACCAGUGGCGAAGGCGGCUCACUGGCCCGGUACUGACGCUGAGGUGCGAAAGCGUGGGCAGCAAACAGG